rnacentral:misc_RNA from 1 species
CUGAAACAGAGGGAAAACAUAAAACGAUUAAAGGCACCGCAACUAGAACCAAGCUAUAUAGCCUAGGACGGGGCUCAAAGGAAAAUGCAAAAUAGAACUAUCAAAAAUUAGAAGUUGCAAGUACAGACUACAAAAUGGCAAUUAGUGAGAUUGACAUCACCUCUGGCUGCAAUUCCACACAAUCAGCAAAAUCAGCAUCUGCCACCAA